GCAAGUUCAUAAGAGCAAACGGUGAAUGCCUUGGCAUCUGGAGCCGAAGAAGGACGUCGUAAUCUGCGAUAAGCCUCGGGGAGCUGAUAAACGAGCUGUGAUCCGAGGAUUUCCGAAUGGGGAAACCCCGCCAGGCCCCUUGUGGUGACCUGGUGACUCCCGCCUGAAUAUAUAGGGCGGGUAGAGGGAACGUGGGGAAGUGAAACAUCUCAGUACCCACAGGAAGAGAAAACAACAGUGAUUCCGUCAGUAGUGGCGAGCGAACGCGGAAGAGGCUAAACCGAGUCAUGUGUGAUACCCGGCAGGGGUUGCAUGGCCGGGGUUGUGGGACUUUUCGUUCCGGUCUGCCGGCCGGUGAACGUUACAGCGCAUCAUAGACGAACAGGUUUGAACGCCUGGCCAGAGCGGGUGCGAGCCCCGUAGUCGAAAUGGUGUUAUGGCGUGAAGAGUAUCCCAAGUAGCACGGGGCCCGAGAAAUCCCGUGUGAAUCUGUCAGGACCACCUGAUAAGCCUAAAUACUCCCAGAUGACCGAUAGCGGACAAGUACCGUGAGGGAAAGGUGAAAAGUACCCCGGGAGGGGAGUGAAAUAGUACCUGAAACCGUUUGCUUACAAACCGUCGGAGCCUCCUUGUAGGGGUGACGGCGUGCCUUUUGAAGAAUGAGCCUGCGAGUUAGUGCUCUGUGGCGAGGUUAACCCGUGUGGGGCAGCCGUAGCGAAAGCGAGUCCGAAUAGGGCGAUUCAGUCGCAGGGUCUAGACCCGAAGCGAAGUGAUCUAUCCAUGGCCAGGUUGAAGCGACGGUAAGACGUCGUGGAGGACCGAACCCACUUCAGUUGAAAAUGGAGGGGAUGAGCUGUGGAUAGGGGUGAAAGGCCAAUCAAACUUCGUGAUAGCUGGUUCUCUCCGAAAUGCAUUUAGGUGCAGCGUUGCGUGUUUCUUGCCGGAGGUAGAGCUACUGGAUGGCCGAUGGGGCCCAAAAGCUUACUGACGUCAGCCAAACUCCGAAUGCCGGUAAGUGAGAGCGCAGCAGUGAGACUGUGGGGGAUAAGCUUCAUAGUCGAGAGGGAAACAACCCAGACCACCAACUAAGGUCCCUAAGCGCGUGCUAAGUGGGAAAGGAUGUGGAGUUGCACAGACAACCAGGAGGUUGGCUUAGAAGCAGCCACCCUUGAAAGAGUGCGUAAUAGCUCACUGGUCAAGUGAUUCCGCGCCGACAAUGUAACGGGGCUCAAGCACGCCACCGAAGUUGUGGCAUUGACAUUAGUGGUAGGCCUUCGUGGUCCAGCCGUGUUGAUGGGUAGGAGAGCGUCGUGUGGCGAGUGAAGCGGCGGUGUGAACCAGCCGUGGAUGCCACACGAGUGAGAAUGCAGGCAUGAGUAGCGAAAGACGGGUGAGAAACCCGUCCUCCGGAAGACCAAGGGUUCCAGGGUCAAGCUAAUCUUCCCUGGGUAAGUCGGGACCUAAGGCGAGGCCGACAGGCGUAGUCGAUGGACAACGGGUUGAUAUUCCCGUACCGGCGAAGAACCGCCCAAGACAAUCCAGUAGUGCUAAGUAUCUGAAUCCCUUUGAUGGAUCCCUUCGGGGUGAAGCGUUGGGCCUAGCGUACGAUCCNNNNNNNNNNNNNNNNNNNNNNNNNNNNNNNNNNNNNNNNNNNNNNNNNNNNNNNNNNNNNNNNNNNNNNNNNNNNNNNNNNNNNNNNNNNNNCGAUGGCCGCAGAGACCAGUGGGAAGCGACUGUUUACUAAAAACACAGGUCCGUGCUAAGUCGCAAGACGAUGUAUACGGACUGACGCCUGCCCGGUGCUGGAAGGUUAAGAGGAACGGUUAGCCGCAAGGCGAAGCUGAGAAUUUAAGCCCCAGUAAACGGCGGUGGUAACUAUAACCAUCCUAAGGUAGCGAAAUUCCUUGUCGGGUAAGUUCCGACCUGCACGAAUGGCGUAACGACUUCCCAGCUGUCUCAACCGCGAACUCGGCGAAAUUGCAUUACGAGUAAAGAUGCUCGUUACGCGCAGCAGGACGGAAAGACCCCGUGACCUUUACUAUAGUUUGGUAUUGGUGUUCGGUGUGGCUUGUGUAGGAUAGGUGGGAGACGUUGAAGCGGGCACGCUAGUGUUCGUGGAGUCAUUGUUGAAAUACCACUCUGGUCACUCUGGAUAUCUAACUUCGGACCCUAAUCGGGUUCAGGGACAGUGCCUGAUGGGUAGUUUAACUGGGGCGGUUGCCUCCCAAAGAGUAACGGAGGCGCCCAAAGGUUCCCUCAACCUGGUUGGCAAUCAGGUGGCGAGUGUAAGUGCACAAGGGAGCUUGACUGUGAGACUGACAAGUCGAGCAGGGACGAAAGUCGGGACUAGUGAUCCGGCAGUGGCUUGUGGAAGCGCUGUCGCUCAACGGAUAAAAGGUACCUCGGGGAUAACAGGCUGAUCUUGCCCAAGAGUCCAUAUCGACGGCAUGGUUUGGCACCUCGAUGUCGGCUCGUCGCAUCCUGGGGCUGGAGUAGGUCCCAAGGGUUGGGCUGUUCGCCCAUUAAAGCGGUACGCGAGCUGGGUUUAGAACGUCGUGAGACAGUUCGGUCCCUAUCCGCUGCGCGCGCAGGAAAUUUGAGAAGAUCUAUCCCUAGUACGAGAGGACCGGGAUGGACGAACCUCUGGUGUGUCAGUUGUUCCGCCAGGAGCACCGCUGAUUAGCUACGUUCGGAACGGAUAACCGCUGAAAGCAUCUAAGCGGGAAGCCGGCUUCGAGAUGAGAUUUCCAUCCCUUCGGGGGAGAGGCUCCCAGCCAGACGACUGGGUUGAUAGGCCGGAUGUGGAAGACAGGACUAAAGACUGUCGGAGCUGACCGGUACUAAUAAGCCGAUAACUUGAUAA
rnacentral:rRNA from 1 species